rnacentral:rRNA from 1 species
GACGAACGCUGGCGGCGUGCUUAACACAUGCCAGUCGAACGGAAAGGCCCUGCUUUUGUGGGGUGCUCGAGUGGCGAACGGGUGAGUAACACGUGAGUAACCUGCCCUUGACUUUGGGAUAACUUCAGGAAACUGGGGCUAAUACCGGAUAGGAGCUCCUGCUGCAUGGUGGGGGUUGGAAAGUUUCGGCGGUUGGGGAUGGACUCGCGGCUUAUCAGCUUGUUGGUGGGGUAGUGGCUUACCAAGGCUUUGACGGGUAGCCGACCUGAGAGGGUGACCGGCCACAUUGGGACUGAGAUACGGCCCAGACUCCUACGGGAGGCAGCAGUGGGGAAUAUUGCACAAUGGGCGGAAGCCUGAUGCAGCAACGCCGCGUGCGGGAUGACGGCCUUCGGGUUGUAAACCGCUUUCGCCUGUGACGAAGCGUGAGUGACGGUAAUGGGUAAAGAAGCACCGGCUAACUACGUG